rnacentral:misc_RNA from 1 species
GAUGAAGAACGUAGCGAAAUGCGAUACUUGGUGUGAAUUGCAGAAUCCCGUGAACCAUCGAGUCUUUGAACGCAAGUUGCGCCCGAAGCCAUCAGGUUGAGGGCACGUCUGCCUGGGCGUCACAUAUCGUUGCCCAAUGCCUAUUGCAGUGCAAUAGGAAUUUCUAGGGCGAAUGAUGGCUUCCCGUGAGCGUUGUUGCCUCGCGGUUGGUUGAAAAUCGAGUCCUUGGUAGGGUGUGCCAUGGUAGAUGGUGGUCGAGUUAGAACGAUACCGAUCAUGUGCAUCCUCCCCAAAAUAUGGCCUCUAUGACCCACACGCGUCUUUUGACGCUCAUGACGAGACCUCAGGUCAGGCGGGGCUACCCGCUGAAUUUAAGCAUAUCAAUAAGCGGAGGA